rnacentral:rRNA from 1 species
UACAGAGGGUGCAAGCGUUGUUCGGAAUUAUUGGGCGUAAAGGGAGUGUAGGCGGCCAUUUAAGUCUUCUGUGAAAUCUACGGGCUCAGCCUGUAACGUGCAGAGGAAACUGGAAGGCUAGAGUGUCGGAGAGGAUAGUGGAAUUCCCGGUGUAGAGGUGAAAUUCGUAGAGAUCGGGAGGAACACCAGUGGCGAAGGCGACUAUCUGGCUGACAACUGACGCUGAGACUCGAAAGCAUGGGGAGCGAACAGG